rnacentral:rRNA from 1 species
GGAGUGGAACUUCGCAUGGACGAAGUCUGACGGAGCAACGCCGCGUGAGUGAUGAAGGUUUUCGGAUCGUAAAGCUCUGUUGUUAGGGAAGAACAAGUGCAAGAGUAACUGCUUGCACCUUGACGGUACCUAACCAGAAAGCCACGGCUAACUACGUGCCAGCAGCCGCGGUAAUACGUAGGUGGCAAGCGUUGUCCGGAAUUAUUGGGCGUAAAGGGCUCGCAGGCGGUUUCUUAAGUCUGAUGUGAAAGCCCCCGGCUCAACCGGGGAGGGUCAUUGGAAACUGGGAAACUUGAGUGCAGAAGAGGAGAGUGGAAUUCCACGUGUAGCGGUGAAAUGCGUAGAGAUGUGGAGGAACACCAGUGGCGAAGGCGACUCUCUGGUCUGUAACUGACGCUGAGGAGCGAAAGCGUGGGGAGCGAACAGGAUUAGAUACCCUGGUAGUCCACGCCGUAAACGAUGAGUGCUAAGUGUUAAGGGGUUUCCGCCCCUUAAUGCUGCAGCUAAGGAAUUACUCACUCCGCCUGGGGAGAACGGGCACAAGACUGAACCUAAGGGGAAUUGAGGGAGGCCCUCACAAAGGCCGAGCAUGGGGUUUAUUUCGAGGCACACUAAAUAACCUUCCGAGGUUCUUGC